GACGUAGGGCGCGAGCGUUGUCCGGAUUUAUUGGGCGUAAAGAGCUCGUAGGCGGCUCGUCGCGUCGAAUGUGAAAACUCGGGGCUCAACCCCGCGCUUGCAUUCGAUACGGGCAGGCUCGAGUUCGGUAGGGGAGACUGGAAUUCCUGGUGUAGCGGUGAAAUGCGCAGAUAUCAGGAGGAACACCGGUGGCGAAGGCGGGUCUCUGGGCCGAUACUGACGCUGAGGAGCGAAAGCGUGGGGAGCGAACAGG
rnacentral:rRNA from 1 species